rnacentral:rRNA from 1 species
AUAUUGCACAAUGGGCGAAAGCCUGAUGCAGCGACGCCGCGUGAGUGAAGAAGUAUUUCGGUAUGUAAAGCUCUAUCAGCAGGGAAGAAAAUGACGGUACCUGACUAAGAAGCCCCGGCUAACUACGUGCCAGCAGCCGCGGUAAUACGUAGGGGGCAAGCGUUAUCCGGAUUUACUGGGUGUAAAGGGAGCGUAGACGGCGAAGCAAGUCUGAAGUGAAAACCCAGGGCUCAACCCUGGGACUGCUUUGGAAACUGUUUUGCUAGAGUGUCGGAGAGGUAAGUGGAAUUCCUAGUGUAGCGGUGAAAUGCGUAGAUAUUAGGAGGAACACCAGUGGCGAAGGCGGCUUACUGGACGAUAACUGACGUUGAGGCUCGAAAGCGUGGGGAGCAAACAG